AACGAACGCUGGCGGCAGGCCUAACACAUGCAAGUCGAGCGCUGUAGCAAUACAGAGCGGCAGACGGGUGAGUAACGCGUGGGAAUCUUCCCAAUGGUACGGAAUAGCUCAGGGAAACUUGGGGUAAUACCGUAUAAGCCCGAAAGGGAAGGAUUUAUCGCCAUUGGAUGAGCCCGCGUCUGAUUAGCUAGUUGGUGAGGUAAUGGCUCACCAAGGCGACGAUCAGUAGCUGGUCUGAGAGGAUGACCAGCCACACUGGGACUGAGACACGGCCCAGACUCCUACGGGAGGCAGCAGUGGGGAAUAUUGGACAAUGGGCGAAAGCCUGAUCCAGCCAUGCCGCGUGAGUGACGAAGGUCUUCGGAUUGUAAAGCUCUUUUGGCGGGGGACGAUAAUGACGGUACCCGCAGAAUAAGCCCCGGCUAACUUCGUGCCAGCAGCCGCGGUAAG
rnacentral:rRNA from 1 species